rnacentral:rRNA from 1 species
UACGAAGGUGGCUAGCGUUGUUCGGAAUUACUGGGCGUAAAGCGCACGUAGGCGGCCUUGUAAGUUGGGGGUGAAAUCCCGGGGCUCAACCUCGGAAUUGCCUUCAAGACUGCUUGGCUCGAGUUCGGGAGAGGUGAGUGGAAUUCCCAGUGUAGAGGUGAAAUUCGUAGAGAUUGGGAAGAACACCAGUGGCGAAGGCGGCUCACUGGCCCGUAACUGACGCUGAGGUGCGAAAGCGUGGGGAGCAAACAGG